AAUAGCCUAACGGCUGAACCAGCAACUUGGAGGAAUGUAUAGCGAAAGCUAGCUACAUUUAACUUAGCUAGAGUUAGUGUAGUAUUGACUAUGUCGAAUAAAGUUCUAGAUGGGUUAUGAUGAUGACAUUUCCCAUCUAUGUGUCUUGACCAAAUUACGUGCCAGCAGUCGCGGUAACACGUAAAAGACUAGUGUUAUUCAUCUUUAAUAGGUUUAAAGGGUACCUAGACGGUAAAUCAAGUCCGAGAAGGAUACUAAUUUGACUAGAGUUUAAUAUGAGGGGGCACAAAAGUACUGAUAAGUGGAGAGAUGAAAUUCUGUGAUACAAUAUACGGCACUGGUAAAGGCGAAGGCAUCUCAUUAUGUAAUAACUGACGUUGAGGGACGAAGGCUAUGUAUAGCAAAAAGGAUUAGAUACCCAAGUAGUCUUAGCAGAAAAUUAUGAAUGUCAUAGGAUAGAACAAAAAAUUUUUUUCUAUAAAUGAAAGUGUAAGCAUUCCACCUCGAGAGUAAUAUGGCAACAUUGGAACUGAAAUCAUUAGACCGUUUCUGAAACAAGUAGUGAAGUAUGUUGUUUAAUUUGAUGGUCCGCAAAAAACCUUACCACAAUUUGAAUAGAAAAAAAUUUUUUUCAUACAAGCGCUGCACGGUUGUCUUCAGUUAAUGUCGUGAGAUCUUGGUUAGUUCCAUUAAAUUAACGUAAACCCUUACUUUAUUUUUAUAUAGAGUAGUUCACCGCUAGAUUGGAUGUGAUAACAGGGACUAAGACAAGUCAUCAUGGCCUUAAUAUUGUGGGCUAUAGACGUGCCACAUAUGCCUUACAAAGGGAUGCGAAAUUGCGAAAUUGAGCUAAUCCCCAAAAUUGGAUAAAAACUUAAU
rnacentral:rRNA from 1 species